UGACCGCGUGUCCACAACCCUGGGAUUCCCUCGCCCUCAGAUUCCAGAAUCCAAUUUCUUGGAUUUCAGUGUUUUUAAGUUACAGAUAUGGGGAGGAGCAAGUUUGGAAGUCGCAACUGUCACCAUCAGGGAGAGCUGGGGCCACAGCUGGGAGACAGGACCUCUAGUCAGAGCUGCUGGUGCUUCAGGGAUGGAAGACUCAGACGCUACAGGCUUGACCUGCCUUCAAGGUAUGAAUGAUGGCAGGUAUGCUGAGAAGUUUACUUGCCUCCUGCAAUGUUUUCCCUACCUGCUCACAGAUGCCUGACAUUCCUUUUAACAGGGAACAGGCCUUGUAUUACAGAGCAAAAGAGCAAGCUUAAAAUGGCCAUUGGAGGAGAGACUCAUAUCUGAGAAAGACAGCAAGAGGGGGAGAAUGGUGUGUGGUGGGAGGUCUCGCUAUGCUUCCCAGGCUGGACUCAAAUUCCUGGGCUCAAGUGAUUCCCCCGCCUCAGCCUCCUGAGUAGCUGGGACUACAGGUAAGUGCCACUGCACCCACCUUGUCUUGAAAUUCUUAAUACUGGCCUCUCAGCCAUCCCCUAGCCAGGUGCUGAGACUGCUUUGGAAUGGAGAUUUAAUCCCCUGGAGGUCUCCCAGCAGCCAUGGGUUGGGGCAGCAGGCCUGUGGGAAGGGAAGAUUGACGGCCUCACCUCAUCCUUGCCCCUGGGCAGAUAUGGCAUGUCAGUCUGGUGGUCUAGCCAGAGGAAGACUCCUGGAGCUGGUGAACUGUGCAUGGAUAUGCAGUCACGGGCAGCCCACCUCCUACUCCUCACCCUCCCUGUGCCUGUGAGGGUCUGCACUCACCCUGUAAGUAUCCCUGUGCCCAAGGAAGCAUAGCAUCAAAC
rnacentral:lncRNA from 1 species